GAAGGUCACGGCGAGACGAGCCGUUUAUCAUUACGAAUUACGAUAGGUGUCAAGUGGAAGUGCAGUGAUGUAUGCAGCUGAGGCAUCCUAACAGACCGAUAGACUUGAAC
rnacentral:rRNA from 5 species